GACGAACGCUGGCGGCGUGCUUAACACAUGCAAGUCGAACGGAAAGGCCCUGCUUGCCGGGUGCUCGAGUGGCGAACGGGUGAGUAACACGUGGGUGAUCUGCCCCUUACUUUGGGAUAAGCCUGGGAAACUGGGUCUAAUACUGGAUAGGACCAUGCUGUAGGUGGUGUGGUGGAAAGAUUUUUUCGGUAAGGGAUGAGCUCGCGGCCUAUCAGCUUGUUGGUGGGGUAAUGGCCUACCAAGGCGUCGACGGGUAGCCGGCCUGAGAGGGUGGACGGCCACAUUGGGACUGCGAUACGGCCCAGACUCCUACGGGAGGCAGCAGUGGGGAAUAUUGCACAAUGGGCGCAAGCCUGAUGCAGCGACGCCGCGUGGGGGAUGACGGCCUUCGGGUUGUAAACUACUUUCAGCCAUGACGAAGCCUCUUUUGGGGUGACGGUAGUGGUAGAAGAAGCACCGGCUAACUACGUG
rnacentral:rRNA from 1 species